AUAUUUUUGAAGUUUUGAAGGGCAUAUUAGAUAUUAUUUCAAAAAUUUAUACACUUUUCAACUGCAUGCAAUUAAAUAAAUAAUUUAUAGUUGCAUCACAUUUUAUUAUAUCUAAUCAAACAAGAUAUAUAUAUAUAUAUAUAUAUAAUUAUAUGUACUUUUAAUUUAGAAAAAAUUUCCAAUACCACCCAUGUAUUUUCACACUUAUUCACUUUAGUAUCCUGUGGUUUUAUUUUCUCUUUUUGUUAUCCCCUGUACUAAUUUUUUUCAUUAAAUCAGUGACAAAAUUAAAACUAAAGGGUAUUAAAGUAAAAAUUCGAUAAACUAUAGUUGGGUAUCUGAAGUUUUUUGUAUAUGAUUUAAUAAAAAAUAACGGAAGGGCCGACGAAAAGAGAAAAAUGAAAUCACAGGUACUAAAUUAAUACACUUUAAAUCACAGAAUACUAAAGUGAGAAAAUGCGAAACUAUAAGGAUGGUAUUUGAAGUUUACCCUUUAAUUUAUGUGUAUUUUGAACUAUAUUAUUUUUUUCAUUUACAUUUAACCAUAUGGAUUAUGAAAAAAUGUGCUUUAGUUUGACGGAACAUUCUCCAAAGUUCUAGAAGGUCUAGAAGUUAUUCUUCUCCAUUUUCAACGAAACUUAGUCCUCAUAUACGGCCCAUAAACCUACGCGCUUUCCUUGCAUUUUAAAUUAGGGUUAAUUGCCUAUAGGUCCCUACAAAUAUAAUAAAUUAUAAAUAUAUUCUUAGAAAGUUUAACUUUUAUAUGUUGUCCCUACAAAAGUCCUAAUGUCUUUAAAUUUGUCCCUAUCGUUAAAAACCGUUAGAAAAAUUUAGUUAAUCAUAAAUUAAAUACUUAAUUCUGGUUAGUUUGUGAGAUAACUUGAUAUUUUUAUCCCUCUUAUAUUAUACUAUUAUUGUUUUUGGAAGGACAUAUCUGUGAUGACAAAAUUGAUAUUUUGCUUAUUUACUGUUAAGAUAUAAACAGUUCUCUAACAGUCAUAAACCAGAGAAAUAUAUUUGAAAACAUUAGAACUUUUGUAGAGAUAGUAUAUGAAAAUUGAACUUUGUAGGAAUAUACUUGUAAUUCACUAUGUUUGUAGGAACUUGUAUGUAUUUAACCCUUUAAAUUAAGAUAAAAUUGUGUAG
rnacentral:lncRNA from 1 species